GACGAACCGUCCAAACGUUAUUCGGAAUCACUGGGCUUACAGAGUUCGUAGGCGGUCUGGAAAGUUGGGUGUGAAAUCCCUCGGCUCAACCGAGGAACUGCGCUUGAAACUACCAGACUCGAGGGAGAUAGAGGAAAGCGGAACUGAUGGUGGAGCGGUGAAAUGCGUUGAUAUCAUCAGGAACACCGGUGGCGAAGGCGGCUUCUGGGUCUUACCUGGACGCUGAGGAACGAAAGCUAGGGGAGCGAACGG
rnacentral:rRNA from 1 species